GGGCCUGUAGCUCAGAUGGAUAGAGCAACGGUUUCCUAAACCGUGGGUCGGGAGUUCGAAUCUCCCCAGGCCUACCA
rnacentral:tRNA from 2 species